rnacentral:rRNA from 1 species
UACAGAGGUCCCAAGCGUUGUUCGGAUUCACUGGGCGUAAAGGGUGCGUAGGUGGUGGGGUAAGUCGGAUGUGAAAUCUCCGAGCUCAACUCGGAAACUGCAUUGGAAACUACCCUGCUAGAGGGUCGGAGGGGGGACUGGAAUACUUGGUGUAGCAGUGAAAUGCGUAGAUAUCAAGUGGAACACCAGUGGCGAAGGCGAGUCUCUGGACAUUUCCUGACGCUGAGGCACGAAAGCCAGGGGAGCAAACGGG